GUCUGCGGCCAUGCCACCCUGAACAAGCCCCAUCCCGUCUGAUCUCAGAAGCUAAGCAGGGUCGGGCCUGGUUAGUACUUAGAUGGGAGACCACCUAGGAAAACCAGGUGCUGUAAGGC
rnacentral:rRNA from 1 species